rnacentral:rRNA from 1 species
GACGAACGCUGGCGGCGUGCUUAACACAUGCAAGUCGAACGGAAAGGCCCUGCUUUUGUGGGGUGCUCGAGUGGCGAACGGGUGAGUAACACGUGAGUAACCUGCCCUUGACUUUGGGAUAACUUCAGGAAACUGGGGCUAAUACCGGAUAGGAGCUCCUGCUGCAUGGUGGGGGUUGGAAAGUUUCGGCGGUUGGGGAUGGACUCGCGGCUUAUCAGCUUGUUGGUGGGGUAGUGGCUUACCAAGGCUUUGACGGGUAGCCGGCCUGGGAGGGUGACCGGCCACAUUGGGACUGAGAUACGGCCCAGACUCCUACGGGAGGCAGCAGUGGGGAAUAUUGCGCAAUGGGCGGAAGCCUGAUGCAGCAACGCCGCGUGCGGGAUGACGGCCUUCGGGCUGUAAACCGCUUUCGCCUGUGACGAAGCGUGAGUGACGGUAAUGGGUAAAGAAGCACCGGCUAACUACGUG